rnacentral:rRNA from 1 species
CGACCGCCUGGGGAGUACGGCCGCAAGGUUAAAACUCAAAUGAAUUGACGGGGGCCCGCACAAGCGGUGGAGCAUGUGGUUUAAUUCGAUGCAACGCGAAGAACCUUACCUGGUCUUGACAUCCACGGAAGUUUUCAGAGAUGAGAAUGUGCCUUCGGGAACCGUGAGACAGGUGCUGCAUGGCUGUCGUCAGCUCGUGUUGUGAAAUGUUGGGUUAAGUCCCGCAACGAGCGCAACCCUUAUCCUUUGUUGCCAGCGGUCCGGCCGGGAACUCAAAGGAGACUGCCAGUGAUAAACUGGAGGAAGGUGGGGAUGACGUCAAGUCAUCAUGGCCCUUACGACCAGGGCUACACACGUGCUACAAUGGCGCAUACAAAGAGAAGCGACCUCGCGAGAGCAAGCGGACCUCAUAAAGUGCGUCGUAGUCCGGAUUGGAGUCUGCAACUCGACUCCAUGAAGUCGGAAUCGCUAGUAAUCGUGGAUCAGAAUGCCACGGUGAAUACGUUCCCGGGCCUUGUACACACCGCCCGUCACACCAUGGGAGUGGGUUGCAAAAGAAGUAGGUAGCUUAACCUUCGGGAGGGCGCUUACCACUUUGUGAUUCAUGACUGGGGUGAAGUCGUAACAAGGUAACCGUAGGGGAACCUGCGGUUGGAUCACCUCCUUACCUUAAAGAAGC